CCUACGGGCGGCAGCAGUGGGGAAUAUUGGGCAAUGGGCGCAAGCCUGACCCAGCAACGCCGCGUGAAGGAAGAAGGCUUUCGGGUUGUAAACCCCUGUCAUGUGGGAGCAAAUUAAAAAGAUAGUACCACAAGAGGAAGAGACGGCUAACUCGGUGCCAGCAGCCGCGGUAAUACGUAGGUGGCAAGCGUUAUCCGGAUUUACUGGGUGUAAAGGGCGUGUAGGCGGGGAAGCAAGUCAGAUGUGAAAACCACGGGCUCAACCUGUGGCCUGCAUUUGAAACUGUUUUUCUUGAGUACUGGAGAGGCAGACGGAAUUCCUGGUGUAGCGGUGAAAUGCGUAGAUAUUAGGAGGAACACCAGUGGCGAAGGCGGUCUGCUGGACAGCAACUGACGCUGAGGCGCGAAAGCGUGGGGAGCAAACAGGAUUAGAUACCCGAGUAGUC
rnacentral:rRNA from 1 species